GGGAAAGGCGAAAAGAACCCCGGCGAGGGGAGUGAAAAAGAACCUGAAACCGUGUACGUACAAGCAGUGGGAGCACAGGUUUACCUGUGUGACUGCGUACCUUUUGUAUAAUGGGUCAGCGACUUAUAUUCUGUAGCAAGGUUAACCGAAUAGGGGAGCCGCAGGGAAACCGAGUCUUAAUUGGGCGUUAAGUUGCAGGGUAUAGACCCGAAACCCGGUGAUCUAGCCAUGGGCAGGUUGAAGGUUGGGUAACACUAACUGGAGGACCGAACCGACUAAUGUUGAAAAAUUAGCGGAUGACCUGUGGCUGGGGGUGAAAGGCCAAUCAAACCGGGAGAUAGCUGGUUCUCCCCGAAAGCUAUUUAGGUAGCGCCUCGUGAAUUCAUCUCCGGGGGUAGAGCACUGUUUCGGCUAGGGGGCCAUCCCGGCUUACCAACCCGAUGCAAACUGCGAAUACCGGAGAAUGUUAUCACGGGAGACACACGGCGGGUGCUAACGUCCGUCGUGAAGAGGGAAACAACCCAGACCGCCAGCUAAGGUCCCAAAGUCAUGGUUAAGUGGGAAACGAUGUGGGAAGGCCCAGACAGCCAGGAUGUUGGCUUAGAAGCAGCCAUCAUUUAAAGAAAGCGUAAUAGCUCACUGGUCGAGUCGGCCUGCGCGGAAGAUGUAACGGGGCUAAACCAUGCACCGAAGCUGCGGCAGCGACGCUGAUGCGUUGUUGGGUAGGGGAGCGUUCUGUAAGCCUG
rnacentral:rRNA from 1 species